ACCCUCCUGAACAAAGACACGGGGGUGGAGAGGAGGGUGCUUAGAGCCACAGCGACGUGAGAUUGCGGCUUCAUCUGGGAGGAAAGUGAGUCUCAUUAUCCUCAGGCUCAGAAAAUCACUAAAGUUCAGCACUUGAAUGAGAGGUAAGAGUAAUUCCUAUUUUUAGUUGGGGAAAAGUAUUAUGGUUUAGAUGAUCCCAUGCUUGGCGGCAUCACCCUCGCCAACUGAGCCAGCCUGCUCUGCCUCGGACUUGGCCGGGGGUUGAGCCCAGCCGCACAGGGACAGCAGUUCGCUGGGCUGGAUCUUCAAGGCUGAGUGGUCAGGGGAAUUUGAAGGCACGCUGGUCAGGCUUGUUCUUUUUGGGGGCACGCUUCUGAGGGUUUCCUUUCUGACCUACGGAAGCCUUUCGCCAAGGCCUGUCUUUUAGAUCGUGGCUUCUGACUUCAGUUUUGAAAGUUUGUCUGUGCCAUCUUCUUGAAAAGGGCAGGAGAGAAAAAACUGGACUAAGAAGCAUAAGAAAAGCUUUCAGGAAAAUUCUGUAGCAACAAAUAAGAUGGUAAUGGGUGUGUCAGUGAUCACAGGAAAUGUCAAUGAGCCAAACUUGUCAGUUAAGAGAUUAUACAACUAAACUAAAAUAAAAUCUAGCUACCUUCUGUUUACAGGAGACAAAUAUGGAGACACAGAAACAUGCAAAUGUUUCUUAAAAAAUGAAAAGAUAUAAUGAGGAAACAAAUAAUUAAGAAGAAAGCUGAUACAGCUGUAUUAAUAUCAAAAUAGAUUUUAAUGGGAAACAAAAGUAAUAUUGGGAUAAAGAGUAGUACUUAAUGACUUUUAAAUGGUUCAAUUCACCAGGAAGAUAAUCUAAAACUUCUAUUUUUGGUUACGUUUUUAAAGUAAAAAUAUGGCAGAAUGACAAUGAAAACAUAAUAUCCAUAAUCUUGGGGGCAUGUCACUAUACCUAUUUGAUGACUGACAUCAGCAGUCCCAAAGUUAGUAAGAGAAAUCGAAAUCCCAUUCUCCAAUCACAAUGAAAUUUAGUUAGAAAUUGGUAACUGCUAGGAAAACUUUCACACAUCUAAUUAUUUUUAAAAAACAUUUAUAAACAGUUCACAAAUCAAAUAUGAAAUGCUAAUGAUAAAAUUUACCCAGAAAUUAUGAAUGUCAAAAUUUGUAGGAUUCAGCUAAAAUGGUACCCCUGCAAGAAAUCCAUAGCUUUGAAUGCCUUACUAGAGAGGAACGCUGAAAAUCAAGCCUGAAUAUUCAACUUGGGUUAGAAAAAAACAAUAGCCCAAAGAAAGCGACACUGAAGAGAAGUUAAUGAAACAGUAGAAAGAACAAAGAAGCUGGUUCUUUAGGGGAAAAAAGCUUAAAAAUGGUUAUGUUCUGGGUAAGACUCAUCGUAAAUAGAGAUGAAAGGAAUAAAAGGCACAUGAACAAUUUUAAACAUGCAAAAGCAAGCCUAACCAGGAACACAGCUAAGGGGGAGACGCACACCAUGGACAACGUUAUGCUGACAUAUCUGACAACUAAAGACAAUUCCAUGGAAAACUUGCCAAAAUUAACGAGAAAUAGUAAAUCUCUAUAACUAUCAGAAAAAAAGAAUAGGUAACUCUUCAAAUAGAGUAGUCACUGGUAACAGCAUUGGAGGCAAGUUCUACUCAACACUCAGGAAUGCAUGAGACACGUGCACUUGCAGAAAGAUCCAAUACCACUAAGAGGUCCAGUGUGUCUCCGUGCAGAAACUUACUGCAAUUCCGCUCAAACUGUAGACAAGGUUCGUCAACAAACUUGAAACUGUAACACUUAUACCAACGGACAAGACCCCAAGAAGAGUCAUGGCAACUAUGAAGAAAAUAAAUGCACACAGAUGUGCAGAGCAGGUCAGGAAUGGCUCCAGCAGACUCAAGCUUCACUAGAAAACAUUUUCUCAGCUCCAGCACUCCUGACACUUUGUGCCAGAUCGUUCUUGGUUGUGGGGUGUCCUGGGUAGUGUGGGGUGUUUAACUGCAUCCCUGGCCUCUGCCCACUAGAUGCCAAUAGCACACCCUUACCACCCCAGGCACGACAACCAAAAUGGGUCUCCAGACAUUGCCAAAUGUCCCCUUGGGGGCAAAAGUGUCCCCAGCUGAGAACCAACACUUGAUGACUAAGUAGACUACAGUAUGGUUUUGGCUCAGGGACGGGCGGCAGAAGAAUGGAGCCGAAAAGAGAGGCUUGAAGAUUCCUGAAUAUACAGAAACUGCCAAAGGUGUCGUUUCAUUCCAACAGAUUAGCAAAAAUUUAAAAAUCUGAUGCUACCAAGUGCCGGCGAAGAUGUAAUCAGAAUGUGCAUAUGUGGCUGAGGAGACUAUAAACUGGUGCAAAUGUUUUGGCAAGAAAUUUGACAGCAUCUAGUGAAAUGAAAGACAGCCAUGUCAUUGUGACCAGUAAUUCCUCUCCUAGUUAUAUACCCUAAAGAAAUGGUUUCCAAAGUGUGGUCCCCUCAGCAUCACCUGGUAACUUGGUUAUAAUGCAAAUCCUCAGGCCCCACCUCACACCUGCAGUGGGCCCAGGAAUCCAUGUUUGAACAGCCCUCCAGGGGACUGUGGGACUGCUCAAGCCUGAGAACAGCUGGUCUUAAAGCAACUCUUACGUAUAUGUACAGAGAGAGAAAUUAUAAGAAUGUCCAAGGCCGGGUGUGGUGGCUCACGCCUGUAAUCCCAGCACUCUGGGAGGCCCAGGUGGGAGGAUCACUCGGGCCAAGGAGUUCGAGACCAGCCUGGGCCACACAGUGAGACCCUGUCUCUCCAAAAAAAUAAAAAAUUAGCCCGGCAUGGUGGUGCACACCUGUCGUCUCAGCUACUCGGGAGUCUGAGGUGGGAGAACCACUUGAACCCAGGAGUUCCAGACUGCAAUGAGCUAUGACCACGCCACUGCACUCCAGCCUGGGUGACAGUGAGACUCCAUCCUAAAACAAACAAAAGUCCAUGCCGGCAUUGUUUUUAUUAAAUAAGAAAACUGGAAACACCCAUCAAUACAUCAAUGAAUAAAUUACAUUUAUUCAAUGGAAAUAAAUAUUUAAGGAUGGAAAUCAAAUUAGAGGUGAAUAUAUCAGUAUGGAUGAUUCUCAAAAUCAUAGCACUUAGGUGCACUGUUGCCUGUUAAUUCUAUCUUUUCUAACUUUAUUGUAAUUUUAUCAUUAGCCCCAAACCUCGUUCUCUUCCCAGGGCACUGGGUCCACGCUGGAGCAUCCCAGAGCUGAUCAAUCCCUCUGGAAGCAGGGACACCCCUGGCUCCAUAGGAUUCCAUUUUGCUGAACUACUGGUUCAGAAACACAAGAGCCUGACAUCUAUGGGAACACAGAGCCAGAAAACCCAGGCACAGACCAGGACAUCUCCGAGGUAUUUCCAGCAGGUAUCUGCUAGACGCGUUCUCUCUGCCAGCCCGCUGACUUGCUAGCUGUGGAGCAACUGCAGUACGUGCCCGUCCCUGUCACCAGGGGCUGGCCAUCAACAGAAGCUGCUCCUUCCAAGCCGGCCACGCGUCUACUACUUCAUCAUCCUCUCGGGGGUGCAUCCACGGCUCUCCCUACAAUGGGAGCUUCCUGAGAGGCACUUUCAUUUCUCUGUGCUUCCUCUGGGCUCACCAGCAAGUGCUAAACUGAAGGAAGAUAGAGUUAAAUUGUUUAGCAAUCAGAGUUUCUAUGACUGUCCAUCAUCACUGCAUCUCUUCUAUGACAUGAGACAUUGGUGCGAUGUGUCAUUAUGUUCAAAUGUGUGGGUCGGCCAGGGUGUAUCUGUAUGGACUGAAUGUGUCCCCAUAAAAUUUGUAUGUUGAAGCCCUAACCCCCAAUAUGAGGAUAUUUGGAGCUGGGGCCUUUGGGAGGUAAUUAAGUUAGAUGAGGUCAGAUGGACAUGGCCCCUGUGGUUGAGAUUAGCCCUAAUACCAAGAGAUAGCAGAGAGCUCCACCCUACUGUUGGCCACGUGCACACAUAGGGAGAAGGGGGCCGUCUAUAAGCAAGGAAGAGAGCCCUCAUCAGAAACCGAUCGCGCCAGCAUGCUGAUCUUGGAUCUGAGGCCUCCAGAACUGAGGGAAAAUAAAUGUCUGCUGUUGAAGUCACCCAGUCCAUAUUGUUUUGUUAUGGCAGCUGGGGUAAGACAGUGUCCUUCUCGGUUUCUACCCUUAACAGGAUAAAAAUCCCUGGAGCAAACCCUCUCCUUCCUCCCAAAGGAGCCAUGGGAAGCCACUCUCUACAAUUUGCAGCAAACACGGAAGCACCAGAAUCCUGCACGUAUGCUCGGAGGAAACGCACAGAGGACAAAUGCAGGGUCGCAGGAUACAAGAAUGGCAAAGGCUGACUCCAGAGAACGUUGUUAAGCUUCAAAUCUAUACUGUGCAUUGGAAGGUAAACAAGCAUCAUCCACACAACUAACUGACUGCAUUCACCAGCACACUCUGAAGUCUUCAACUACUGCUAUUAAUCUAUUUUUCUCAACAUUAUUUUCUUUCCUCAUUCUUGGAUUUCUUUUUAUUUAUGUAUUUAUUUUUUGAGAUGGAGUCUUGCUCUGUCGCCAGGCUGGAGUGCAGUGGCGCGAUCUCAGCUCACUGCAACCUCUGCCUCCCGGGUUCAAGUGAUUCUCCUGCCUCAGCCUCCUGAGUAGCUGGGACUACAGGCACAUGUCACCACGCCCAGCUAAUUUUUGUAUUUUCAGUAGAGACGAGGUUUCACCAUGUUGGCCAGGAUGGUCUCCAUCUCUUGACCUCGUGAUCCACCCACUUCGGCCUCCCAAAGUGCUGGGAUUAUAGGCGUAUGCCACUGCGCCUGGCCUCAUUCUCGGAUUUCUUUAACCUCUCCUUGGAGGGGACACAGAACUGGAUGACAAGGAAGAAACACUCCUGGGAGAUGUGGUUGGGGGCAGGAUAGAGAGAACAAAGGCCAGGGCCAGGCAAGGCUGGGGAAAGGAUGAAGGCUGAGAUUUGGGGGGUGAGGGAGGUGUCCAGAAGAUGAUGAGACGUUCAGGAGAAUGGGAGGGCAGGAAAACAGGGCAAGGUUUGGACGGGUCUCCCCGCUGCCGGGGGUCUGGUACUGCCUGUGCAGCGCAGGCUGGAGGGAAAAUGUAAGCUGCCCAGUGCCGCUGCCCUGCCCACCCCUGCUGCACCUCUGAGUCACUCAGUUCUUCCAAAGGAAAAGCUGGGAAGAAGGAGUUCGGUGUCUGGACUUCUAAUCAGCUUGUUCCUUACAGCACUAUUUACUGAGGGAAAGAUUUUAAAUGUUCAGCUAGGAAAACUGGUGGAAUAUAUUAGGAUACAUCAUGACAAAAAGAUGCAGCCUUUGACACACAACCUCUUAUAGUAUUUUUAACAACAGGCGGAAAGAGCCCUAUGUAACAUGAAGAAAAGUUAGAGACAAAGCCAUAUAUAUGUACGGUCCAGUCAGAUACCAAUUAGAUAAGCAGACUCGACAGAGACUAGAAAGAACACACGAAAAGCAGUAACAGGGACUAUUCUGUACUGGAGAAUUAAGGGCUAUUUUUCUUUUUUUCCAUUUUGGUAAUUUUGCAGGUUCUCUAGAAGCAUAAUUUGUGUUUGUAAUCUUUUUUUUUUUUUUUUUUUUUUGAGACAGUCUCACUCUGCCACCUAGGCCGGAGUGCAGUGGUGCGAUCUCGGCUCAUGGCAACCUCCGCCUCCCGGGUUCAAGUGAUUCCCGUGCUUCAGCCUCCUGAGUAGCUGGGAUUAGAGACACGCGCCACCACGGCCGGCUAAUUUUUGUAUUUUAGUAGAGAUGAGGUUUCACCAUGUUGGCCAGGUUGGUCUCAAACUCCUGACCUCGGGUGAUCUGCCUGCCUUGGCCUGCCAAAGUGCUGGGAUUACAGGCGUGAGCCACCACGCCUGGCUGUAUCUGUAAUCUUUAGAGGUAUUAAAAAAAAUAUAUCUUCAACUAAAGCUUAGACUGAUAGAAGAGGCAAAAGCAGGGCAAGAGAGAGGUGGCCCGACGCACACAUUUUGGUUGCUGGGGUCUCAUAACAGAACGGAACUUCUGAGGAUUCUGCCCCAUGCCCUGCUCUGGGGAGAGGGGUCCAUCGCCACCCCGCACAGCCGGUGAGUCCCCACACCAGCAGCCCCAGCCCCCACUCGCCUCGCCGCUCUGCAAUCUGCAGGUAGCCAGUGGACAGGUACUGCUCCAUGUCCUGCUGGAAGGCUUCCUCAAAAAACUUCUGCCGCUCCUUCAGCUUCAUUUGCUGGGUGUGCUCCAUUUCCAGGACCUUCUGGGCGUGCUCUGCAUCUAGUUCAGCUGAGGAAACAGAAUAACUGGGGUUAGGGUUUGAAAAGGGACUGAGAGAGGAAAUGGGUAUAAACAGCUGCUCGCAUCCACCCUCCAAGUGGAUGGAGUCAUGCCGCGUUUACAGACUGGGCUGGUGCCCCGACUGCGUGUACAGCUGGCCUCCUUGUCCCCCAAUCUGCUGCACUUCCUCCCCCUACCUGGGCGGUCAGGGUCAGGCCCUUCGUUCCACACCUUUGCAUGUGCUGUUCCCUUUGCUGGAACGACCUUCCCACCCGCAUCGCCCAUUCAUCAGUCACAAACAGCUGUUCACCUUCCAAGACCAGCUUCUCAGGUCGUCCUUCUACUAACUCCAGUGGAGUCUGCUGCUCCAUCCAGAUGUUUCCACAUCCCUGUGUUUAGACUUUUGCAGCUGACUUACAAAAAUUGCAGUGCAAUUGCUAAGGAUUUGGAGUCCCUGCAAGACUGUGACCAUGUAUGACUCAUUUCAACAUGCUGUCACUCAGCUCAGAGCCUGGCACACAGUAAGCUCUCAAGUUCCUUCCCACGCUCACACUCUCUCCUACUGCCUUGUGAAGAAGGUGACUGCUUCCCCUUCUGCCAUGAUUGUAACUUUGCUGAGGCCUCCCCAGCUAUGCAGAACUGUGCCUGAACUCUGGCAAUGACCUGAAGGGCCCUCACACAGAUUCUUCUCCAGUGCCUCCAGAAAACAACGCAGCUCUGCGACCCCUGAUCUCAGCCUCAUGGAAUACUGGGCAGAGAAUCCAGUCACAGCUUGCCUACACUUCUGCCCUACAAACUGGAAGCUGAUAAAUUUGUUUCAUUUUAAACUGUUAUGUUUGUGGUUAUCUAUUACACAGCAAUAUGGGCUUAUUCCAAACAGGCUGUAUGAAUUCAGGUCCCUGACCAAAUCUGGUUGACUGUAAAAAUGAAAAAGGACAACCUGAGUGCCUUACCUUACGUAAAUAUUUCCUAACUCCUGCCCUGUGUCUGUGGCAGACACCCUGCUCCGCUGAGUUUGGGUGCUAUUACUCCGGAAAAUCUAGUCAUCUGCAGAAACCAUUUCAGCUACCUUCUGUCCUGGGAUACACUGUAACAAACCAUUUCACCCAAGGCAUUGUUUCCUCUGGUUCAGCUCAGGGGAGUAUCAACAUCUUAGGGGUGUUAUCAAGAUUGUUAACAAAACAAACGCAGCAGCUCUUACCAUGGACAAUGGUGAAUGAGGUCCGUUAUCUGCCUUAGUCCCUGCCCAUCCCCACAUUCCCAGCACCACACUCUCAACUCCGGAGUCCAGCAAGCUGGUAUGCAUGGCAGACCUUAAAACCCAGUGAUGGAGUUUAUCAUCUCAAAUCAGGUACAGUGUCUAAUACUUAGAAUACUAUGGGCUUUCUUCUUAUAUUCUGAUCUACAUACAUGCAAGAAACACAAACUAAUGCUAACCAAAGCAACAUAGGAAAAGUAAAUAUUCCUAAUUAGCAUGUAAUCACAUGCAUAGUAUUUCCUCUGUGCAUUCUGCUCAUACUGUUGCCAGUACUGGGUGCCCUCUCUCCAUUUCCUGCUACCUCAUCCCACAUGUGUUUACGUGAAGACGGUCUGCCACAGUGGGAAGAGUUUCUUGUGCUCACAGGUUUUGGGCUAGGCCCAACUCAGGUCCUACACUCCUAGCGCCUCUUGGCACAGCCCUCUGGUCUACCUCUACGUUCAGCUGCAGCUAUGGAAGCCAGUUCUGUGUGCGCUCAUUGGGAUGCACAGAGGGUCCCACCUCACAGCCACGCCUGUGUGGCUGUUUUUCUGGUCAGAGUAUUCUCUGAAUCUCAGGGAACCUAGCCAGCACAGCCCAGUUUUGUGGAAUUAAGGCAGUUCUCAACCAACAUGUGACAGAGGUCAGUGUCUCAGGACCCUGGUCUAACAUCCUUUGGGUGGACGAUUCUAGGAGGCGUUCUCAACACUUCUCAGAGAUCCUGGUACGACGGCACAUCCUCACUGGCUUUAGCAGCUUCCUGCUUUUAGCUUCUUUUCCUCGCUGUCUCACUUUCCCUGUCCCUCGCUCCUGCUUCUUGGAAUCGCCUCCCAAAGGACCUGCAGCUAAAUCCUCUUCAGGAUUUAGUCUCAGACUCUUUUUCCACAUAACUGAUUUCACCAGAGUUGCAACUUCUCCUCCAUACAAGUGCGGUAAAAACACCUAUUUCGUAAGGUUGUUGGCAGGAUUAAAUGAGGUAGCAAAUACGAAUCACCAAGCAUACAAUGUUGGCCAAUAGCUGGCAGCUAAUAUUAAUACCAGCAUUAUUUAAACAACAGCCUCUUGAAGAGGGAGCAACACCAAAUAUUACCAAGAACCAGGACUCACUAUGCACUGAAAAUCACCUGCUCUGGGCCCCACUCAGAUGCUUAAGAAUUAGUUACCUUUCAGUACUCUUAAUAAAUCUGCAAGGAAUUUAGAGUGUACUCGUAAGAAAAAAAAAUGAACUGAAGAGGAUGUCUUUUCAUUUGUUUCACUUCAGUUGUCAACAUAUCUGUUCAAAUGAUUCAUGGCUGCCAAGUGCAUUAGAAUAAGUCAACCCUAAAAUACAUUAAGUAUGCUUCAACUGCUUCAAAGUUCAGCUAAUCUUCUUUUGAAAAAUAAUUCCAGAAUAGGCAGCUCAAAACCAAAGAUCAAUGCAGAAAUCAUCAAAGGGGUUUUAAUUAAAGAAUAUCUUGUUUUAACAGAAUUAAGAUUUUCUGUAGAUAUAUAACAUAAAAAACAUUUUUCUCAAGACUACUUCUGCUUUAAAAGUUUGAUUCUCUCGUGUUGCUGAAUUAUUGGCCCUUCAGUUUAUCUCAGUUUUUUCUACAUCAGAAUGAAAUCCAAUCAUGUCUCGACCUUCACAAGGGAGGAGGGGUUAGAUUAGGAAACUUAAAAUGACUUUUUUCUUUUUUGACAUGGAGUCUUGCUCUGUCGUCCAGGCUGGAGUGCAGUGGCGCGAUCUCGGCUCACUGCAAGCUCUGCCUCCCAGGUUCACGCCAUUCUCCUGCCUCAGCCUCCCGAGUAGCUGGGACUACAGGUGCAUGCUGCCACUGCCAGCUAAUUUUUUUGUAUUUUUAGUAGAGACAGGGUUUCACCAUGUUAGACAAGAUGGUCUCGAUCUCCUGACCUCGUGAUCCGCCUGCCUUGGCCUCCCAAAGUGCUGGGAUUACAGGUGUGAGCCAAUGUGCCUGGCCUUAAAAUGACUUAUAAAAAAUAGGAGAAAACAAUCACUGUUUUAAGUUUUAAAACAUGUUCCUCACUAGGUAUCUGAAACAUCCCCAGCUGUCCCCACCAGCUCCCCACUUCAUUUCAGAGCCCUUUUUGUAUCUCGGGGCUAAGCACUAAGCCAGCUUCACUGAGGACCGAGUAUAGUUGCACCACACCAGCCACUAUUCAGGAUGACUAUGAAAAAGCACAAAGCGGGCAUUUAAAAAUAACUUUGCUGCCCAACAGCUAAGAGACAUUUGCCCUCAGCGACGUGACUGAAUGAGGAUGUUCUAAUUGUGCUGUGUGUACUGAAAUCAUCAAUUGGGCCUGCAUCAAGAAAACAACCAAAUAUGGGAGAGGUGAAAUGAUGGGAGGAUAUUUGAAGGAAAAAUUUCAAAUCUAGGGGUUUAACAGCAUCUGAAUUUUAGAAUGAGGACUGAAAAAUCUAAAUUACAGAACAUUUUCUACAAGGAAAAAUGACCCCUUGCUCACAUUAAGAUGCCAUUUAUUAUACUGGGGAAAGCCAGACAAAUACAAAGAUGUUAAGAGCUUCAACAAAUGGACUUCAGAUUAAAAGAAAAAAAAUCAAAACAAGAUGCAGUAGUUUUUCUACGACGAGUCAAGAGUAAUCAUUUAAUUCCAUUAUCACCUCAGGCCUAUGUCUUUUUAUUUCAACUCCAGAUCAUUGCUCAAGUUUUAUCUGACUGCAACUUCCACUUUAGUUACCACUAUCAAUUUCAAAUGCUUACUUACUCAAAACAACAAAAAAUUCCAUUACCAGUGAAGACGGAAUAAUCAAUUCUCAAUUAUACGUUUUAAUGGGGCAUAAGGGUGGCACAAGAUAUAUGAAAUUAAAAAAAACCAAGUUCAUUUCAGGAACAUAUUCAACAUACUCUACAACUAAGCCUUUUAACCGAGAUAGGUAAUAAAUAUAGUGAGGUGUUAAUGACCGAAAAAGGCCCCCAAACCUCUGGGAGUCAUGUAUAGAAAACUAGGAUAAGCCUCUCUCUUAAGAGUUCAAAAUGUUAAAAGAGAAACAGUAACACUUACUACAUAUGAAUUGAGAAAAAUUCUAGUAAUCUCUCUAUUAAAGAUUAAGAGCAUUGUUCAUUAGAGAUAAAUAAGACUAAGAAUAAACUUUAAAAACUAACUUCAAUAUUUACAAUUCAGGUGUUUUUAUAUUGAGUUAGGAAAUAUGAGUUUUGUGAUAUUAAAAUACAUGUGACAUGAUCAAGAGAGAACUGUGAAAUAUCUGUAAGUCUCUAAACAAUUUUCUGAAUACAAAUAAACAUCUCUUCAAGCUGUUUUUUGAUAAAAACAAUUGCCAACAGUCUGUCAAAUUACAUAACCACUAGAAGACAUUAAAUUCUGUCAAUGUGACAGAUUUUAAAAAUUGGGACCUAUGAUUUGUUUUGUUUUUUGUUUUUUGUUUUUUUUAGACGGAAUCUCACUCUGUCACCAGGCUGGAGUGCAGUGGUACGAUUUUGGCUCACUGCAAUCUCGGCCUCCCUGGUUCAAGCCAUUCUCCUGCCUCAGCCUCCUGAGUAGCUGGGAUUACAGGCACACGCCACCACACCCAGCUAAUUUUCGUAUUUUUAGUAGAGACAGGGUUUCACAUUGUUUGACAGGAUGGUCUCGAUCUCCUGACCUUUUGAUCCACCCGCCUCGGCCUCCCAAAGUGCUAGGAUUACAGGUGUGAGCCAUCGCACCUGGCCAAAUUUUUUAUGCUUCUAAUUAUUUGCAUUUUUUUCUUUUUAGACAGAGUCUCACUCUAUUGCCCAGGCUGGAGUAAAAUGGCACGAUCUUGGCUCACUGCAACCUCCACCUCCUGGGUUUAAGUGAUUCUUGUGUCUCAGCCUCCCGAGUAGCCGAGUAGCUAAGACUACAGAUGUGCACAACCACACCUGGCUCAUUUUUGUAUUUUUAGUGGAGACAGGGUUUCACCAUGUUGGCCAGGCUGGUCUUGAACUCCUGACCUCAGGUGAUCCGCCCACCUGAGUCUCCCAAAGUGCUGGGAUUACAGGCAUGAGACACCGUGCCCGGCCUAUCUGCAUUUAUUUAAUAGGGUAUUUUUGAUGCAUGAACUAUGUACACUGAGGAAAAUUUUUAGCCAUAAAAAAUUAUUUAUUCCACAAAUAAUAGGGUGAAAGUCCCUAUUUUAGGGGACUUUUCCUAUUAUAGAUGACUACAACUAGCACAUUUUGGUGUAUACCCAUCAGGGAUUUUUCCCCCCAUUAGGAUGACUAUAUGAAAUUGCAAUACUCAAUUUUUAAAGCUUUUUACUUCGAAAUAAUUAUAGGUUCAUAGGAUGUUACCUAGAAAUGUACAUCCUGAAUGUCCCUCAGUGCUAACAUCUUACAUAAUUCUGGUAUAAGGUCAAAACCCAACAAUUAACAUGGGUACAAUCCACAAAGCUUAUUCAGAUUUCACCAGUCACACAUGCGCUGUGCGUGCAGAUGGGCAUACAGCUCCAUGCAGUCUUACUACAUGCAUAGCCUUGUGUAAGCACUACAUCAAUACAGUACCACCGUAAGACUCCCUCAGGUUCCCCUUGCAGGAUACAGUAAAUUCCUCUUCAAAGUUUAGCCUGUUAACUUCCUUUAAAAUUCAAGAAGGAGAAAAAUUGUUAAGUACAAUAAGUUCUGAGUUCUUCUUCAAAGAACCAAUAUGUCAGUAUGUUCAGCUUCCCUGUUCUUUGUUCUCCAUUUUAAAGUUUAACUUCCUCAUUCUUUACUCUCCUUGCCCCUAGUUUCAGUAAAUGACCCCCUCCUAGCCUCUGUCACCUGUUCUGUCCUUAGGCAUCCUUAGUCACCUGUUCUGUAACUGUCCUUUCCACCAAAACUACUCACCCUGCCACUCCGGCUCAUACCCUUGCUCUCUUUAAAAGAGACAAUUGGAAUUAGCUUAGACUGUGCAGUCCAACCCUAGCCAAUAGGGGAAAGACACAGCAGUAGGAGCUAGCGGCAUUAGGAAUAAGACCCCUUCCCCUUCCUUGUCUGGUGUGCUCUCGCCAUUGUUCCAUCCACAAGAUACACCCUUCUAUAGAAGUAAAUUGCCUUGCUGAGAAAACUUUUGCCUGAGUGUCAUUUUCACUUGGUGACACCAAGCAUUUACUUCCAACACCUCUUAUAGCCAUGCCCUCCUUCCCCAAACACUCAGCUGGACUCCAAAUCUAUAAUUAUGUUAUUUCAUAUGUUAUGUAAGUGGAAUCAUGUACUAUAUAUCCUUCUGAGACUCGCUUUUUUCACUCAGCAUAAUUGCCUUGGGGUUUCUCCAAGCUACAGCACAUAAUAAUCUGUUCCCUUUUAUUAUUGAGUAGAAUUUUAUGGUAUGGAUGUACCACAGUUUGUUUAACCAUUCACCCACUGAAUGGCUGUUUCCAACUUUUGGCUAUUAUGAAUAAAGCUGUCAUGAACA